rnacentral:rRNA from 1 species
UACGAAGGGGGCUAGCGUUGCUCGGAAUCACUGGGCGUAAAGCGCACGUAGGCGGCUUUCUAAGUCAGGGGUGAAAUCCUGGAGCUCAACUCCAGAACUGCCUUUGAUACUGGAGAGCUUGAGUCCGGAAGAGGUGAGUGGAACUCCGAGUGUAGAGGUGAAAUUCGUAGAUAUUCGGAAGAACACCAGUGGCGAAGGCGGCUCACUGGUCCGGUACUGGACGCUGAGGUGCGAAAGCGUGGGAGGCAA